GCCGAAGUGGUGGAAUAUGGUAGACGCGCUGCGUUCAGGGCGCAGUGGGCAGCAGCCCGUGGGGGUUCGAGUCCCCCCUUCGGCACCA
rnacentral:tRNA from 1 species